rnacentral:rRNA from 1 species
CCUAACACAUGCAAGUCGAACGGCAGCACAGAGGAGCUUGCUCCUUGGGUGGCGAGUGGCGGACGGGUGAGGAAUACGUCGGAAUCUGCCUAUUUGUGGGGGAUAACGUAGGGAAACUUACGCUAAUACCGCAUACGACCUACGGGUGAAAGUGGGGGACCGCAAGGCCUCACGCAGAUAGAUGAGCCGACGUCGGAUUAGCUAGUUGGCGGGGUAAAGGCCCACCAAGGCGACGAUCCGUAGCUGGUCUGAGAGGAUGAUCAGCCACACUGGAACUGAGACACGGUCCAGACUCCUACGGGAGGCAGCAGUGGGGAAUAUUGGACAAUGGGCGCAAGCCUGAUCCAGCCAUGCCGCGUGUGUGAAGAAGGCCUUCGGGUUGUAAAGCACUUUUGUCCGGAAAGAAAAGCUUAGGGUUAAUAACCCUGAGUCAUGACGGUACCGGAAGAAUAAGCACCGGCUAACUUCGUGCCAGCAGCCGCGGUAAUACGAAGGGUGCAAGCGUUACUCGGAAUUACUGGCGUAAAGCCGGCGUAGGUGGUUUGUUAAGUCUGAUGUGAAAGCCCUGGGCUCAACCUGGGAAUGGCAUUGGAAACUGGCUUACUAGAAGUGCGGUAAGAGGGUUAGCGGAAUUCCCGUGGUACAGUGAAAUGCGUAGAUAUCGGGAGGAACAUCCGUGGCGAAGGCGGCUACCUGGACCAGCACUGACACUGAGGCACGAAAGCGUGGGGAGCAAACAGGCUUAGAUACCCUUGUAGUCCACGCUGUUAAACGGUGGGGUACUAGGUGUGGGGGACAUUCCACGUUCUCUGUGCCGUAGCUAACGCAUUAAGUACCCGCCUGGGGAGUACGGCCGCAAGGCUAAAACUCAAAGGAAUUGACGGGGCCCCGCACAAGCGGCGGAGUAUGCGGAUUAAUUCGAUGCAACGCGAAGAACCUUACCUGGGUUUGACAUAUAUCGGAAACGUUCAGAGAUGGGCGCCCCGUAAGGUCGGUAUACAGGUGGUGCAUGGCUGUCGUCAGCUCGUGUCGUGAGAUGUUGGGUUAAGUCCCGCAACGAGCGCAACCCUCGUCCAAUGUUGCCAGCGGGUUAUGCCGGGGACUCAUUGGAGACCGCCGGGGUCAACUCGGAGGAAGGUGGGGAUGACGUCAAGUCAUCAUGCCCCUUAUGUCCAGGGCUUCACGCAUGCUACAAUGGCCGGUACAAAGAGUUGCGAGCCUGUGAGGGUGAGCGAAUCUCAAAAAGCCGGUCUCAGUUCGGAUUGGGGUCUGCAACUCGACCCCAUGAAGUCGGAGUCGCUAGUAAACGCAGAUCAGCAACGCUGCGGUGAAUAC